GCUGGUAGUAUUAGUGGGUCAAUGGUUUCCCGGGCCUAGCCUGUCAAAGCGGCGGUGAAAUGUAUCCGUCAUCAUAUCACAGCCACUUUGAUGUGGUCGGUUUACGGAGAGCACCACGUCCUUACAGCACUGCCAGU
rnacentral:pre_miRNA from 1 species